rnacentral:rRNA from 1 species
UACGAAGGGGGCUAGCGUUGUUCGGAAUUACUGGGCGUAAAGCGCACGUAGGCGGAUAUUUAAGUCAGGGGUGAAAUCCCAGAGCUCAACUCUGGAACUGCCUUUGAUACUGGGUAUCUCGAGUAUGGAAGAGGUGAGUGGAAUUCCGAGUGUAGAGGUGAAAUUCGUGGAUAUUCGGAGGAACACCAGUGGCGAAGGCGGCUCACUGGUCCAUUACUGACGCUGAGGUGCGAAAGCGUGGGGAGCAAACAGG